rnacentral:lncRNA from 1 species
CUGGGAAAGUUGAAUUCAUAAUCUCUUUACUUAAACAUUGGAUAUGUGCAAUUCAUUGUUUUCACUUCUCUAUCUAUCAUAUUGCUGUGUCCAAAACCAAAAUCCAAUAGUUAUAAGUGAUAUAUAUUAUUUAUGAAUUGCAUAUCAUACAUCUCUUUUGUAUAUUUACACAUCUAUGAAAAACAAAUUGAUGAAGAUAAGAAAAUACUGACCAGCAUCAGGAAGGCAAUCUUUACGCAAAACAAAUGUCCUCUUCUUUUCAUGAUCAAUAAUUGCAAAAAAAAACUGACACAUAGCUACAUCAUCAUUGGCUACACACAUGUGAAUAGAAUAAGUCAAGUAUUAGAAUUAGAACAAUACACAUGUUCUUUUUUGCAUAUAAACUAAAUGACUUUAUGUUUAGAAUACUGCAUUUGCUUACUUACUGAUGUUAUAGAUGGAUGUUAUUCUAUUAGUUUCAACUUUCAAAUUAGUACUACCUGCAAGCAGAAUACUAAAAUAAGUCUGCAUCCUCUUGAAUACAUCACAAGAAACAGGUUAAAGCAUAUAAUAAUACCUCAUCCUCAGUUUCUACCUGAAUUCAAAAGAUUCAUCACAUUAAUGGAAAGUGUAGGAAAUGAGGGAGCCUACAAAAUUGAUAGAAAUCAAGAAAUACCACUCAAACUCCAAAGUAAAAGAGAAAAGAGUACAUGAUUCAACAUUGUUUACUUGAACAAAAGGAACAUCAAAAUGGGCAAAUACUCCUUCAAAAUCAUUUGGUGAUGAACCAUACCUGUGAUUGAUGCUUAUUAGUUUUAGGUAUCAGCUGGCUAAAUAUAAAAUACACAUUUGUAACCCAAAAAGAACAUGAGUCGUGAAAGUGCAAUUCAAUGAGGCAAUCAAUCAAACUUGUAAAAGGAGAAUUAAUUAAAGCUGUAAAAUGUACACAAAAAGUAGUAAAAUAAUAAAAUAAAUGCAUCGAAGAAUGAGAAAAUAACUCACUUCAACAUAUGAGAAUUAUUUCUAUCUUCCAUUCCUCUCAUCAGUCUUGAAUGUAUAAGGUUUUUCUAGGCCAGCCUCAUUAUANNNNN